rnacentral:misc_RNA from 1 species
AGAAACCACAACCAUCAGAUACCUAGUCUUGUCCUUGAGAAUUUCUCUACCUGUCUUACUGAAAUUCAAACAAGGCCUGUAACCCAAUCCAUCAGGUUGCUUCCAGAACUCACUCUCAGUAAAUAAUUCACGGGAAAUGGAACAUGGGUUUUGUGAGAAAGGAAGAAAGUCCAACCACAACCCAACAAAACCAAAUAGAAAAACUAAGAAAAUCCAGAAUCUUGGAUUAGUUAGCAAAAGCUUAAACUUACGAGAUAAAGGAGUAAUUUUCUUUUCAGAUGAGAGCAUAUUUUGAAGAUGUGAAUUGACUAUGUGAGAUGGCACUGCAAUGUAACAUUGAUGAUUCUUU